UACGUAGGGGGGCAAGCGUUGUCCGGAUUUAUUGGGCGUAAAGAGCGUGUAGGCGGCUGGGUAGGUCCGCUGUGAAAACUCGAGGCUUAACCUCGAGACGUCGGUGGAAACCAUCCAGCUAGAGUCCGGAAGAGGAGAGUGGAAUUCCUGGUGUAGCGGUGAAAUGCGCAGAUAUCAGGAAGAACACCCGUGGCGAAAGCGGCUCUCUGGGACGGUACUGACGCUGAGACGCGAAAGCGUGGGGGAGCGAACAGG
rnacentral:rRNA from 1 species